AGCUAGUUGGUGAGGUAACGGCUCACCAAGGCAACGAUGCGUAGCCGACCUGAGAGGGUGAUCGGCCACACUGGGACUGAGACACGGCCCAGACUCCUACGGGAGGCAGCAGUAGGGAAUCUUCCGCAAUGGACGAAAGUCUGACGGAGCAACGCCGCGUGAGUGAUGAAGGUUUUCGGAUCGUAAAGCUCUGUUGUUAGGGAAGAACAAGUGCCGUUCAAAUAGGGCGGCACCUUGACGGUACCUAACCAGAAAGCCACGGCUAACUACGUGCCAGCAGCCGCGGUAAUACGUAGGUGGCAAGCGUUGUCCGGAAUUAUUGGGCGUAAAGGGCUCGCAGGCGGUUUCUUAAGUCUGAUGUGAAAGCCCCCGGCUCAACCGGGGAGGGUCAUUGGAAACUGGGGAACUUGAGUGCAGAAGAGGAGAGUGGAAUUCCACGUGUAGCGGUGAAAUGCGUAGAGAUGUGGAGGAACACCAGUGGCGAAGGCGACUCUCUGGUCUGUAAC
rnacentral:rRNA from 2 species